rnacentral:lncRNA from 7 species
UUUCCUCUAGGUUUUGGCUCCUACCGCUCCAACACGGAUCCUUCCCAUGGUCUGCAGUUCUUUUGCAAGAACUGCACCAGCAUGGGUCCUUCAUGUGGAGUGCAGUCCUUCAAAAACAGAUGGCUUCAGCAUGGGUCACCCACCAACCCCAGUUCAAAAAACUGUUCCAGCCUGGGAUUUUCUCCACAGACAAAUGCUUCUGCCAGGAUCCUGCUCCUGCGUGGACUCUCCAUGGGCUGUACGGACUAACUUCUUCACCAUGGGCCUCUGCUGGGCAGCAGGGAAAAAUAUAUGCUUGGAGCACUUGCUGCCUUCCUUUUGUGCCAAGCUUGGUGGCUACAGGGCUAUUUCUCAUUUUCUCACCCCUCUGUCUCACAGCUGAGCUAUUCUUUCUUAACUAUGUUAUUACAGAGAUGUCACCAGUUUUGCUCAUGGGUUCAACUUUGGCCAGUUGUGGGUCCAUUUUGGAACUCACUACAACUAGUUGGAAACUGGGGCAGCUCCUCGUCUCUUCUUACAGUGGAUAUCCCUGAUACAUCCCACACUACAUUAAUCCUGCCACAGAAGCUGAACAUGCUUUCUCAGCUCCAGAAGAUUCAUAUAAAAUAUGUAUGUAGAACUCAACAUCUAUUUCUCCUGUGUCCUCCCUGAUCCACCUCCAUCUGAUCCCUACACUGACCUUCAACUCCUGGAAGAAGACACAAAGUCAGGAAGAAGUAUGUUCAGAAAAUAGAUCGUCCAAGCUUAAGAUGGAUGUUCUGAUUCAUCUGCUGUAUGUAUGCAUCUCUUACUUGUGGCAAUAAAAGUAGACUGCAACUAGGGAAGACUUGACAUCUAUACUUAGCUAAGGCAGAUCGUUCCCCGAUGUACAGUGAUGGUGGUCCAGCCCACGCUUUUGAACAUUGUUUGAGGAAUUGGGCUUCAUCCAUACGGCAGUUUGAAAUGGACUAUCUAUAAUUGGAAUUUCUACUGAGCUGGGAAAUAUGCUGGUGAUGGUUUUAAAAAAGAGCAGAGAUAAGAAGGGAGCUGAGAUGCUUUAGUUGGUACCCUGUUAUCUCUAUGAACGGACCAAAGGUGGGUGUACUGUGGGGCCCUGGGGGGAAAGGAGACAGAUUGUCAAACAGAAUUUGCCAUUGCAAAAUAUUUUUCUUUAUCACAAUCAUCAGAGCAGAUUCAAAAUAGCUGUCACUUUAUGUUCAAAUAGACCUCUUCUCAAAAGAAAUGCGUGUUUUUCGUUUUAUUUUUAGACUGUAGGGCUGACCAGCGCAUAGCCCUUCACUUCACUGAAUAGUUCGAUCAACCAAAUGAGCAAUGCACUCUAUUUUCCUUUCUGUUAUCCUUCAUCAGUAAAAGAGACCACUGAAAAUUAAUAAAACAUUUAACAUCUUGAUGUAAAUAAUGCAAGAACAUGUCUCUGCUGAUCCAGUCAGAUGUACUUAAAUUAAUUUGCUGUAAAGAUUACUAUACCAAUAAUAAAGUAUUCUAUCUAUCACUCCAGGCAUUAUGUAAGGCUAGCAGCUUCUAUGCUGGCAUUUGCAGAAAUAAGCAAAAUUAGUUCAGCACAGUCCACAGCUGUGAUCACUGGAGUAAAAGUCAGGGUCUAGGGGCUGUGCAGAUAUUGUACAAGACAGCUGUACUUUACUACUGGUCCACUGGGCCUGAUGCUAAUAAUUUUUAAAUGGUCUGUUAGUUACGGCCUCAAGCUACCUCCUAUUUCAAAGCCUAUUAACAUUUGUGCAUCUUUAAAAUAUUUUAGUGUCUUAAUUAGCAUAUCUUUUUUCAUAAUUCCAAGUCUCUUGAUAUUUAAAAAAAUUAAAUAAAAUCAGUAACAGUGGCUGAACAGUUGUUGGAUGAAAUGUGACUGUUGAAAUGUGCACCCAGACCAAAUCUAUCAUGCAAACACGGAAGUGCAGAACUAUUUCAGAACUACUUCCUGUGCAGGAUCAGUCUGACUGCCUUAGGAUAACAGAUUGAUAUUGCUUACAGGCUUAUUAGAAGAAGGCAGAACACUGUAGGCAAUAUUUUAAAGAAAACCAUGCAAUUAGUCUGUUCUUUUUAGUUCUAAAAUAAAAUAACAUUAAAACCAUUUUUUCAGUUUUGAUGAUUCUAGCAAGAU